rnacentral:rRNA from 1 species
GGCGAGUGAGCGGCACGGCUCAAAUUUGAAAUCUGGCCCCCCCCGGGCCCGAGUUGUAAUUUGCAGAGGAUGCUUCUGGCGAGGCGCCUUCCGAGUGCCCUGGAACGGGACGCCACAGAGGGUGAGAGCCCCGUCUGGUCGGACGCCGAGCCUCCGCGAAGCUCCUUCGACGAGUCGAGUAGUUUGGGAAUGCUGCUCUAAACGGGAGGUAUAUGUCUUCUAAAGCUAAAUACCGGCCAGAGACCGAUAGCGCACAAGUAGAGUGAUCGAAAGAUGAAAAGCACUUUGAAAAGAGGGUUAAACAGUACGUGAAAUUGUUGAAAGGGAAGCGCUCGCGACCAGACUUGGGCCCGGCGAAUCAUCCGGCGUUCUCGCCGGUGCACUUCGCCGGGCUUCCAGGCCAGCAUCAGCUCGCCUCGGGGGAUAAAGGCCCGGGGAACGUGGCUCCUCCGGGAGUGUUAUAGCCCCUCGCGCAAUGCCCUGGGGCGGGCUGAGGACCGCGCAUUCGCAAGGAUGCUGGCGUAAUGGUCGUCAGCGACCCGUCUUGAACCGGACCAUUUAUAGCUAUUUGAUUCUGAAUGAACCCAUGGCACCGGAUCAACUUGCUCGACGGUAUAAUUGAACGACAUAGAGCCGCAAAUUUUCCAAUUUGCGUUCGGCCUAUAACAAGGCGUGCAAUGCGUUUACUGGUGUUUACGGACCUAGUGCCGUACCUAGUCCAU